GCUGGGUGAGAUCGCCGUACAGGUAACCAUAGCCAGAGCCGGCGCCGCCCGCCUUGACGUCGCCCACGAGGGCGCCCUCGGACGGGCUGCCAAUAUGGUCGUUGUCGAUACCGCCCCCGGGGAUACCGCCGCCGGGCGUAGGACCCGAUGCCGAUGACGACGCGCCGCCGCCACCGCCGCCGCGGCAAAAGUCUGUCGUACUUUCAUAGACAGACCGGGCGCCGCCACCGCCAUAGGCCGUGGCGCGGAACAACUCGGUAUUGUCGGGCGCCACGGCCACAACAAAGGUCUCGCCGCCAUUGCCGCCGUCGCCGCCGGCAUAGUUGGCGUCAUCCAUUGGCACGCCGCCCUUGCCCACAUUGACAAUCCAGCGGACGUCGCUCGGUGCCACAGCCCACUGAGCAUCGCCCACCGUGCGGUUGAGGAUGGCCGAGCCACUGCCGCCGCCCGCGCCACACUCGAGCGAGGACGACCCGGCGCCGCCGCCGCCCCACAGCGUGACCGAGAUGUCGGUGGCGCCCACCGGCGCAGUCCAGUUGGUCGACGCACCCACAAAGACCGUGUAGCGAUAGGCGUCGAUCGGCACGGCAGCACAGCACAAGAGGACCGCAAGCGCGACCAGCGCCGUGGCGGUCUUGGAGGUUGCCGCGUACGAGGCAGUGUACAUGAACGGCCGGGCCAUUUUUGGCAAAGAGAGACGAGUGUGAGUGUGCUUGUUUUAUUUUAAGAUACAGAGGGUAUUUUUAUACCGCAGCGCUUCUUUUUAGGCCGCCGCGCGCAGCGACUGACCCUGGCGCCUUGAGGACGCCGACUGCAUAGAACAAAAAAGGAGAAGGUUUGGCCAAAGUCACGUGCGUUUAGCCUUUUUCCCCUCACAUUGUCGCUGCGCGAGGUGCACAAAAGAAAUUAAAAAAAAUAUUCACG
rnacentral:lncRNA from 1 species